rnacentral:tRNA from 1 species
AAAGAAUUAGUUAAAAUAUAACAUAAAUAUGUCAAAUUUAAAUUAUUAUUCAAAUAAUAUUCUUUU